GACGGGGCCCGCACAAGCGGUGGAGUAUGUGGUCUAAUUCGAUGCAACGCGAAGAACCUUACCUGGUCUUGACAUCCCGGAGACCCUUAGGAAACUAGGGGGUGCUUCCAUCUGGAAGAAUCUGGAGACAGGUGCUGCAUGGCUGUCGUCAGCUCGUGUCGUGAGAUGUUGGGUUAAGUCCCGCAACGAGCGCAACCCUUGCCUUUAGUUGCCAGCAGUUCGGCUGGGCACUCUAAAGGGACUGCCGGUGUUAAACCGGAGGAAGGUGGGGAUGACGUCAAGUCCUCAUGGCCUUUAUGACCAGGGCUACACACGUACUACAAUGGCCGAUACAAAGGGCAGCGACACUGCGAGGUGAAGCCAAUCCCGUAAAAUCGGUCUCAGUCCGGAUUGGAGUCUGCAACUCGACUCCAUGAAGUUGGAAUCGCUAGUAAUCGUGGAUCAGCAUGCCACGGUGAAUACGUUCCCGGGCCUU
rnacentral:rRNA from 1 species